UUGACCUCAAAUCAGGUAGGACUACCCGCUGAACUUAAGCAUAUCAAUAAGCGGAGGAAAAGAAACUAACAAGGAUUCCCCUAGUAACUGCGAGUGAACCGGGAAAAGCUCAAAUUUUGAAUCUGGCGGUCUUUCGGCCGUCCGAGUGUAAUCUAGAGAGCGUCCCCCGCG
rnacentral:rRNA from 1 species